UACGUAGGGGGCAAGCGGUUGUCCGGAUUUAUUGGGCGUAAAGAGCUCGUAGGUGGUUCGGUAAGUCGGGUGUGAAAACUCUGGCUCAACUCAGAGACGCCACCCGAUACUGCUGUGACUCGAGUCUGGUAGGGGAGUGUGGAAUUCCCAGGUGUAGCGGUGAAAUGCGCAGAUAUUGGGAGGAACACCAGUGGCGAAGGCGGCACUCUGGGCCAGUACUGGACACUGAGGAGCGAAAGCGUGGGUAGCGAACAAGG
rnacentral:rRNA from 1 species